AGUGAACGCUGGCGGUAGGCCUAACACAUGCAAGUCGAACGGCAGCACAGUAAGAGCUUGCUCUUACGGGUGGCGAGUGGCGGACGGGUGAGGAAUACAUCGGAAUCUACUUUUUCGUGGGGGAUAACGUAGGGAAACUUACGCUAAUACCGCAUACGACCUACGGGUGAAAGCAGGGGAUCUUCGGACCUUGCGCGAUUGAAUGAGCCGAUGUCGGAUUAGCUAGUUGGCGGGGUAAAGGCCCACCAAGGCGACGAUCCGUAGCUGGUCUGAGAGGAUGAUCAGCCACACUGGACCUGAGACACGGUCCAGCCUCCUACGGGAGGCAGCAGUGGGGAAUAUUGGACAAUGGGCGCAAGCCUGAUCCAGCCAUACCGCGUGGGUGAAGAAGGCCUUCGGGUUGUAAAGCCCUCUUGUUGGGAAAGAAAAGCAGCAGGUUAAUACCCCGCUGUUCUGACGGUACCCAAAGAAUAAGCACCGGCUAACUUCGU
rnacentral:rRNA from 1 species